UAACCAGUCAAGCAGUUCGGGAAAAUUAAUUCCGGUAUGGUUUCAGUUUUAUAUUAUGUAGCUGAGUACAUCGAUCCCGAAGUUAGUUUAGCGGCGGGAGAAAUAACGUUUGGCAUGAUUAGCAAGAACUGAAAAUGAAACGGAAGUAGAAACGAAGACUCGGAAGAGGUCACAAAGAAAAAUACACCGAACAUUGAUGCUACAUCGAUGAGCUGUGUUAUGUGCAUUGUAUAAGAAAAAAGAAGCGGACUGGCGGCCGGAGGGUGAGGAUUGACAGGGAAUCAAACUUGGACUCCUGCAUAGCUUGUAAGCUGCUCUAAUCCACCCAUGCCGACAUCCCGGUCAGCACAAUCCAAACCACUAAGUGUAUCUGGUCAACAGCAAUUGGACCUGCCUGAGCUUCUUGUAUCUGAUCACCAGCAAUUGAACUUGCCUAUCUGCCAUUUUCAUCUAGUUGGAAAUGAUGUAGUUUACUCAAUGGUGUGUAGACUGUCAACAUGUGAAACCUACAUAGUCUCCUCUGUUAAAGAUCACUAAUGGUGGAUAAACAAUGAGUGAUGCAGACUGUUCACCAAAAGGGAGUUUUGACACCUGUAUGCCUAUAUUUCUACCAAUCACCCUGUUAUCUUUUUUGUCAUGUUCUUUGGACAGGUAAAAUAACAAGAUCUGCUCUUUUGAUGAAAACUGUGAAAAAAGAUCCCAUUUCAUAAAAUUCUAAGAUGUUAAAAUGUAGUACAACACCUAAAAUGAAAAUUUUGUGCAUUUUUCCUGGUAAAACAAGUAGAAAGAAAAGGCUGGAGCAAAGAUGAGAAAAGUGAAUGGAGACAGAUUCUGAUGAUGCCAUCAUUGGGAGGCAGGAUGACUAUAAGACACUAAUUCCUCAUCCAUAAAGAUUUCUACAAGUGGUUCAUUUGAAAUGAAUACAGAUUUCAUUACAAGACGUGUGCAUGGUGCAACAUCCUGGAUGGUGUGUAGUAUGUUUGUUAACAUGUGAAGCCUACGUGUAUUUCAGGGAGUUGUCUCCCAUGUUUAAGAUCAGUAAUGGCGGAUAUACAAUGCAGUAUGCUGUCUGGUCAUCAACAGAGAGUUUUGACACCCGUAUUUCUACCAAUCACCUCUGUAACCUUUGUUGUGUUCAUCAGAUAGAUUCACCAGAUGCAGCUGCUCCAUCUCCAUCACUGGUGAAAUGGGAAAUGACUAGUGGACGGUCAUCACUUUGUAACUCACCAUUUUGCAGCCCAUCUCUUCUCAUCUUCAGUGGUGGCCUCUGGAGAAAUGGUUGCAGUGCAGUCUUCGUGUCUUAGGCAGAUAACUUCCUUUCCUUUGCUUCUCAGUUUUUAGCUCAACUCAACGAAAUUGGGGAACCUUAUGUGAUACCCUCAGCAUUGGUGUUGGUGUCCCAGGUUAAAGUUUUUGGAGCAGAGUUCUUUUUAACUAUGAAAAUGAAGACCUGGAGAGGAUCUUGAUUGAUUUUUCUUGAAUGAGACACAAGUGCCUUCCAUUUGUGAUACUAAAGGAAGCUGUUACAAAUUUAGUUUGCCACAGUACUGGCCUGACAUAUGAGGACAGGAAUAAAAGAUGUUUUAAAAUAGAAAUGUCUAUAAUUUAACUUAUAAGUAUGAUUAACUAAGAUCACAAACAACAAAUCAGUUGCAUUGCAAAUGUACAUAUAGCAUGUUUGCACUUACGAGGGAAUAUUCACUCCCUUUCAGUGAAAGUGUUGGCAUGCAGGUCAAUUAUUGUCACCAAAUCAUCUGUCAUAUUCUCUGCAUGCAGCUGUAGAAUUUGAUCAGAAAGAUUAGCUACACUAUUCUAUGUAUAAGUCUUAUGUAUAAAUCUAAGAUAUUUUGGUUUCUAGUCACCAGUCUAUAUUUAUAAUCAUUGUAGUGAAAAAAAAAUUCUGGUCCAUAAGUCGAUUGAGAGUUUAUGUUUUAGUGAAAUGUUUUGUUUAUUUAUUGCCAACUCGCUGUAAAUCAAAUGUAGUUAAAAAUUUCAGCACUUUCAUUGUGUUUAUGCAAUUUAUUGUUCUUCAAUGUCAGUGACAUGUAUAUCAUUUUAUGAUGCACAAUCAGUAUUAUUGUACUAGAUUUAUACUUGUCUCUUAUUGAUCUGCAUUUUUUGUGGCUAAUUAAUGUUUAAAUCCUACUGUGAACGUCUUCUUUUCACUUGGUGCCAGUGCUUGAAAGAAACCAGCCUGUCAAUAAUUUUUAAGAAGAUGCUGAGAUUAGCUUUACAUCGUAAAACAAACUGAACACUGUAUAUAGUAUAGCAUAUCAUUGUUAAAGAUGUAUGUGUGCAUGUGUGUUGUAUUGUAGAUAUAAUUCUUGUAUUACAUCAUGUAUAUUUCAUAGAAGAUUUUGUUAGAAGCUCUGUUUUCAUAAUUUAAUUAUUUUCAUGUACAUAAAGACUUUGAUCGUU